AGGUUUGGUACUUUAAGCAUAAAAGGCGAUGUUUGCAUUUUCGUAAUGAGGCGUAGCCUCUCAGACCUA
rnacentral:tRNA from 2 species